GAUGAACGCUGGCGGCGUGCCUAAUACAUGCAAGUCGAGCGAACGGACGAGAAGCUUGCUUCUCUGAUGUUAGCGGCGGACGGGUGAGUAACACGUGGAUAACCUACCUAUAAGACUGGGAUAACUUCGGGAAACCGGAGCUAAUACCGGAUAAUAUUUUGAACCGCAUGGUUCAAAAGUGAAAGACGGUCUUGCUGUCACUUAUAGAUGCAUCCGCGCUGCAUUAGCUAGUUGGUAAGGUAACGGCUUACCAAGGCAACGAUGCAUAGCCGACCUGAGAGAGUGAUAGGCCACACUGGAGCGGAGACGCGGUCACGGCUCCUGAGGGAGGCACCAGAAGGGAAUCUGACGCAAUAGGCGAGAGCAUAGCGGAACAACGGCGAGCGAGUGAUGAAGGUCUUGGGAGCGUAAAACUCUGUUACUAGGGGAGAACAUAUGUGGAAGUAACUGUACACAUCGUGACGGUACCUAGUCAGGAAGCAACGGCUAACUACGUG
rnacentral:rRNA from 1 species